CUUAAACUGUGGCUGCUCUCUGUUCUGAGCCGGAUAGUUAGUCUUGUCACGUAGGAAUACCACUCUGUCUGCUGUCGCUGUACCUGCCUCUUGACGCCACUUUCUGCCUGCAAUCACCAGCCCUGCAUUACUCUCCUUCCCUGCCUGUGUUCACUACCUGCUCUGUCAUCUGGGAGGAUUCCCCCACCUGUCCAUUCUGCUACAAUUCUCAGAUUCAGAAAUAAACUGUUUAAACG